GUUCAUUAGCAUGAAGAUAUACUAAAAUUGGAACAAUACAGAGAAGAUUAGCAU
rnacentral:snRNA from 1 species